GCAUAUCAAUAAGCGGAGGAAAAGAAACCAACCGGGAUUGCCUUAGUAACGGCGAGUGAAGCGGCAAAAGCUCAAAUUUGAAAUCUGGUACCUUCGGUGCCCGAGUUGUAAUUUGGAGAGGGCAACUUUGGGGCCGUUCCUUGUCUAUGUUCCUUGGAACAGGACGUCAUAGAGGGUGAGAAUCCCGUGUGGCGAGGAGUGCGGUUCUUUGUAAAGUGCCUUCGAAGAGUCGAGUUGUUUGGGAAUGCAGCUCUAAGUGGGUGGUAAAUUCCAUCUAAAGCUAAAUAUUGGCGAGAGACCGAUAGCGAACAAGUACAGUGAUGGAAAGAUGAAAAGAACUUUGAAAAGAGAGUGAAAAAGUACGUGAAAUUGUUGAAAGGGAAGGGCAUUUGAUCAGACAUGGUGUUUUGUGCCCUCUGCUCCUUGUGGGUAGGGGAAUCUCGCAUUUCACUGGGCCAGCAUCAGUUUUGGUGGCAGGAUAAAUCCAUAGGAAUGUAGCUUGCCUCGGUAAGUAUUAUAGCCUGUGGGAAUACUGCCAGCUGGGACUGAGGACUGCGACGUAAGUCAAGGAUGCUGGCAUAAUGGUUAUAUGCCGCCCGUCUUGAA
rnacentral:rRNA from 1 species